rnacentral:hammerhead_ribozyme from 1 species
AUCUGGUUGACGAGUCUCGAAUAGAACGAAACGCACGUUCUUGAU